AUUAAACGCUGGCGGCAUGCCUUACACAUGCAAGUCGAACGGCAGCACGGGGGAACCCGUGGUGGCGAGUGGCGAACGGGUGAGUAAAGCAUCGGAACGUGCCCUGGAGUGGGGGAUAACGUAGCGAAAGUUACGCUAAUACCGCAUAUUCUGUGAGCAGGAAAGCAGGGGAUCGCAAGACCUUGCGCUCUGGGAGCGGCCGAUGUCGGAUUAGCUAGUUGGUGGGGUAAAAGGCCUACCAAGGCGACGAUCCGUAGCGGGUCUGAGAGGAUGAUCCGCCACACUGGGACUGAGACACGGCCCAGACUCCUACGGGAGGCAGCAGUGGGGAAUUUUGGACAAAUGGGCGAAAGCCUGAUCCAGCCAUGCCGCGUGAGUGAAGAAAGGCCU
rnacentral:rRNA from 1 species